CGAACACCACGCCGCUCUGCGCGCUCACCGACACGUAGGACGCCAGCGCCCGUGGCUCCAGGUCGCUGGCCACGAUGGAGUAGGAGACGCGGCCGUUGGGCCCCAGGUCGGGGUCGGAGGCGCUGACUUGGGCGAUGGAGGCUCCAGGAGGGUUGUUUUCGGCCACGUGGACCACGUAGGAGGCCUGCUGGAAAACUGGCGUGUUGUCGUUGACAUCCGCAAUGUGCAGAGUGAUGCUUAUACUAGAAGAGAGGGGCGGCUUUCCCCUGUCGGUGGCCAUUACACUGAUGUUGUAUUCCGGAAUCUCCUCCCGGUCCAGGGGACCAUCUGUCACUAGCUUGUAAUAGUUCUUUGAGUAAGAAUUCAGUAUAAAGUCGGCCUUUCCCAAGAUGCUGCAGUAAACUUCUCCAUUUUCUCCAGAGUCUCUAUCCCUUGUUUUUAUCAAGGCGACCACAGUUCCUGGUGGCGAAUCUUCUGGUAGAGGAGUAAAUAUUGAAGUCAUCAUCACUUCAGGUGCACAAUCAUUUUCAUCGAGAAUUUCAACUUGGAUACUGCAGUGGGCUGCUAGAUCUCCAGGAUCUUUUGCUUCUACACUGAGAGUGUAACUAUUAGCAGUUUCAAAAUCAAAAUAAUCCUUUGUUGUGAUUUCUCCUGUUGUUUUAUCUAAGUUAAAAAACUGUUCCACUAGUUCAUCCACAUUAUGAAAGGAGUAGGUGAUCUCUGCGUUGACACCCUCAUCCUGGUCAGUGGCUGUUACCCGAAGCACAGAGAAGCCCCGGGGCACACCUUCCUGCAGGCUGACCUUGUAGAUGUCUUGGAUGAACACUGGAGGGUUAUCAUUAGCAUCGGUCACUUGAAUUUGGAUCUGGGUGGUGCCGCUCUGGGGUGGGUCCCCACCGUCCACAGCUGUUAGAACCAAUUGAUGGAAACUCUGUUUUUCUCUGUCUAGAAAAUGUUUCAGAAUCAACUCAGGAUAUUUAUGUCCAUUUGGAGUCUGUUUCUCUGAGAGAUCAAAGUGCUCAUUGUCAUUAAGAUGGUAUCUUUGCAGUGAGUUAGGACCAGCAUCUGAAUCCAGGGCCGGGUCUAGUGGAAAUGUUUUACCUGGCUUGGUGGAUUCUCCAAUUUUUAAAUCAAUCUUAUUAUGUUUGAAUACUGGGGUGUUGUCAUUUAUAUCCUGCACUAGUACUGCUACGUGAAAGAUAUUUAGUGGGUUUUCAGCGACAGUAUCGAAAUCCAGAAUACACAGAGACUUCUUUCCGCAUAUCUGCUCUCGAUCUAUUCUGUCACUCACAAGUAAGUCCCCACUUUCAGGAUUUACAGUGAAAUAUUCUUUCUCCGCGCUAACACGCAGUUUCCGGGCUGGCAAGUCCCGGACACUGAGCCCCAGAUCCUUGGCGAGGUUUCCUACCACCGAGUUUUUGGCCAGCUCUUCAGGAAUUGAAUAGCGGAUCUGAUCCGGGAGAGCCCCGCAGAACAAAGACAUCAGGAAGGGCAACAAUACCUGCCGCCACCGCGCUGGGCUGCUCCACUCUGCUCUCGGCCUCAUCCUCUUUCUCCACCGUGGCUCUGCUUUUUGGUCAAGAGGAGAAAUAAGCCCUCUGUGGAUGGCAAAAUGCCGGAUUGACUCACCUGAUGAAGACUAGCGUCUCCUUUCGUUUCGGAUAUAUCCUGAGUUAUCAGAAGAGGCUCGCUUUUCCCACAGCUGUCCUGGCUGAGGAGCGUGUCCGCAUAGUUGGGCUGCGGGAAGAUCACGUGACUCUCCCGCGAGCCCGCGGUCAGGGACACCUCGUGAGAAUAGGUCUGCAGGAACGCCCGCACCCCGUCCAUGCCCACAAACUGCGAGGCCGAGGCCGGCACGCCCAGCAGCCCUCCUCCUGCAGCCUGGAGCAGACGCGACGCGUGCCAGCGCCUCAGCCUGAGCGCCAGCAGCACGAUGACAAAGGCGAGGAAGACGCAGGAGACUGCGGCCACGGCCACCACCAGGUACAGUGUGAGGUCAGAGUCGUCUGGGUUGUCAGGAGACUCGAGGCUGCUUAGGUCGGCCAGGAUGUCUGGGAUGCUGUUGGCCAGGGCCACAGUGAGCGUGACGGUGGCCGAGAGAGGGGGCUGGCCGUGGUCCUGCACCGCCACCACCAGGCUCUGCUUGAGCACAUCUCUGUCCAGCAGGGCCCGAGCUGUGUGCACCUCUCCUGUGUGCAGCCCCACCUGGAAGAGCCCAGGCUCGCUGGCCUUGAGCAGGUGGUAGGACAGCCAGGCAUUCUGGCCAGAGUCUCUGUCCACUGCCACCACCUUGGUGACCAGGUAGCCAGACUCUGCAUAUCGAGGAGCCAGCUCCACACCUGUGGAACCAUCAGUGGGGAGGGUGGGGUACAGGAUUUCGGGGGCAUUGUCAUUUUGGUCCAGAAUGAAAAUACUCAAAGACACAUUGCUGCUGAGUGGAGGUUCCCCGCUGUCGCUGGCUGUCACUAACAGUUGCAGGUCUCUAAUCUGCUCAUAGUCGAAGGAGUGCAGUGCAUACAGGACACCAGUAUCAGAGUUGAUGGAAACAUAGGAGGAGAGAGGCAUCCCAUGGAGUGUGUCCUCAGCCAAGGAGUAAGUGACUCUGGCAUUCUCCAUGCUGUCAGGGUCCUGGGCAGACAUGGAUAAAAUGGAGGCUCCUUUGGGGUUGUUUUCAGGAAUGUAGGCAGAGUAGGAAGCGUGAGGGAAAGCAGGUGGGUUGUCAUUGAUGUCUGCCACCUGCAGUGAUAUGUGAGUUUCUGUGGACAGUGGUGGAAUUCCAUGAUCAGUGGCAGUUACUGUGAUGUUGUAUUCUGAGACCUCUUCCCUAUCCAGUGUUUUGCGUGUCAACAACCGAUGAUAAUUUCCAUAGGUCUUUUCAAGUGUGAAUGGCAGAUUAUCCAGAAUAGAACAUGUGACAAGGCCAUUCUCUCCUGAAUCACUGUCAUGUACAUUGAAAAGCGCAAUUACUGUACCUGGGGAAGAAGUUUCUUGGAUAGAGCUGGUGAGAGAUGUAACAGUGACUUCUGGAGCAUUGUCAUUUACAUCCAGAACUGUCACCAGUACCUUACUUCUGGCUCGGAGACCAGGUCCAUCAUGGGCUUCUACAUCUAUAUCAUGAAAUCCAGAGUUUUCAUAAUCUAGAUCCCCCAAUAUUGUUAUGUCCCCAGUCAAAGAAUUCAAUUGGAAUAGUUGGGACAUUUUAUCUCUCACUUUGCGGAAAGAAUAGGUUACUUCUCCGUUGGCUCCUUCAUCUGGAUCAGUGGCUUUUACAGUGAGUAGCCGGUAGCCCACUGGCACGUUCUCUAGAACAUUCACAUGGUACUCUGGCUGAGUGAAUACAGGAGCAUUGUCGUUGGUAUCCACAAGUGUUACAUGAAUCUUGACAGUGCCAGAGUGAGCCAAGUCACCUCCGUCAAAGGCAGUGAGAAGGAGGUGGUGAACUGCCUCUUCUUCUCGGUCUAGGGCAAGCUCCAGCACCAGCUCAGGGGACUUAAUGCCAUCUGCUCCACUUGGCACGUCUAGGGAGAAGUGAACAUUCGAGCUGAGCUGGUAACCCUGCAAGGAGUUUACUCCUACAUCUGGAUCAAAAGCUUCAGGAAGAGGAAAUCUUGUCCCAGGAUUUUCAUUUUCAGCAACUUUUAUUUCCCUUUGCUCUAUCCCAAAGGUGGGCGCAUUAUCAUUAACAUCGAUAAUUUCCACUUCUAUUCCAAAAAUCUUCACUUUGUCUUCCAGAAGAAUCUCCAGGCUUACUACACACUUUGGAGAUCUGUCACAGAGCUCCUCCCGGUCUAUCCUACCCGCCGUGACCAAGCUGCCGCUUCGCAGGUUCAGAGCAAAGAGCUGCGUCCUACCUCUGGAAACAAUGCGGACUCCACGCUCCUCCAGCUCCCGGGGCUCCAGUCCCAGGUCCUUGGCGAUAUUGCCCACAUAAGAGCCUUUCUCCAGCUCCUCAGGCACAGAGUAGCGGAUCUGUUCGGCCUGGAUUUUCCACAGGGCCCCCAGGAGAACGCAAAUCCCGACCAGCCGGCUGCAGUCUGGGUGAUAAGGAGGAGCCGCCAUUACCGCCCCGCUGCGGAAUAGCUUGCACUUGGGUGUUUCCUCAGUGGAGACCAGAGGAGCCCCAGGAUCUUCGGGGUCCAAGAUUAUGUGCUUUCACCGUUGGAUGUUGGAAUUCUGGGGUCCAGUCUUAAGCUUCCUAAAGCCACAGGGCUAAUACUUUGUGAUGCAGAAAUCUUCUGGUUCGGAUUAAAUUCCUGGUUACGUUUCCCCUGAUUGGUGAACAGCGACACUCAGAGUCCUAACCUGUUACUGCAAUAUAUUUUUGGUAAAGAAAAGCACUACCUGUUUAUAUCAUUUCUUUUUCAUAACCUAUUUUUCCUAAAAGAAUAAAAUUCAAGCUCCUGUUUUUAUUUGCAAUGAAAAUCCAAGCAUGAUCCAAAGCUUACUGUACAAUAAACCUUCCAAAGUAA